rnacentral:lncRNA from 1 species
UCAUUCACAAAAAUAGAGCAAGAACUUUGCACAAAUUUCUCUCCAUUUUCAAGUCACUUUUUAUUUUUAUUCAUUUAGGUAUGAUUUUAUUGUUUAUUUUUUAUUUAUUUAUUUUUUCAUUAUUAUUCUUGAUGCACUUAAUAGUACCUCAAUCAUCACAAUUUUGCAUGAAAACUCCAUUGAUUCAAAAUCAAGAGUUUAAAGUGUUCUUGAACCUCCAUGAGAAAAAAUGAUUAAAUUUAAAUUAAUUUUCAUUUAUUUAAUUUUCUUUACAUUAUUAUUCUUUCUACACUUAAUUAGUGUCUUAAACCAUCACCAUUUUACAUGGAAACUCAAUUGAUUCAAAAAGAGUUUAAAAUGUUCUUGAAUCUCCAUGAGCAAAAAUGAUUAAAUGUGAUUUAAUUUUUUGUUUUUUGCUUAAUUAUUUUUUAAUUAUGAUCAUUCCAUGUUGUUCGUGAGAUUCAGAAGAUAAAUUUUCAUUAUUCAUUUGCUUAAUUUCAUGAAAAAUUGAGCAAGUUAUGGAAAAAAUAAGGAUGUAUGUUGUUGUUUUUGAAUAAGCCCAUAUUUAAUCUAGACCACACAUCCUGUUUUUUCCUUUCAUCAUGCGCUAUCAUGUGGCACUGACAAAGUGGAGUCCCACCCAUUUUUUAUUUUAUUUUAUUUCUUUUGUGCAGUUAAAUUGAGUUGGGCGUUAAACCACUUUCUUUUAUCCUCUUUUAUUUAUUAAACUCAUAUCUCCCAUCAACUUCAUCAUACCUCCCACUUUAUUAUUUCAUUAUUUUUUUUAUUUAUUCAUUUAUUUUAAUUCCUUUUUUAUUAAAUAAUAAAUAAUCAAUUUAAUCAAAUGUUAGUUAAUUAAUUCCUUAUUUAAAUAUCAUUUGUUUUAUCAUAUCUCUCAUAUCUCAUGAACUUCUACAUAUCAUUUUUGCCUAACUUAGAAUUAUAUUUUUAUUAUUAUUAUUUGUUAAUUUGUUUAAUUAAAUGAUUAAAUUGAAUGAAUUUUUAUAAUGAUGAUAAAUAUAUUUUCUAAUUUAAAAACCCCGGUCCAAUGUCAAGUGAAUUUUCAUAACCCUUUGAU